GGGCCCGCACAAGCGGUGGAGUAUGUGGUUUAAUUCGAUGCAACGCGAGGAACCUUACCAGGGUUUAAAUGCAGAACGACAGGGGUGGAAACACCCCCUUCUUCGGACGGACUGCAAGGUGCUGCAUGGUUGUCGUCAGCUCGUGCUGUGAAGUGUCGGGUUAAGUCCCAUAACGAGCGCAACCCCAUUUCUAGUUGCCAGCGGUUCGGCCGGGGACUCUAGAGAAACUGCCAGCGUAAGCUGUGAGGAAGUGGGGACGACGUCAAGUCAUCAUGGCCCCUUACGAGUAGGGCUACACACGUGCUACAAUGGCGCAUACAGAGGGCAGCCAACUUGCGAGAGUGAGCGAAUCCCAAAAGUGCGUCGU
rnacentral:rRNA from 1 species